rnacentral:lncRNA from 1 species
GAAAGAGAAACUGAAUUAUAUGAAAGUAGAAGUGGACUCCAACAUAUUAAUAAUUCCCAAAAUAAUUAUUUAUUUUUUCUUUAUUUGUUCAGGAGAUCCUCAAGUACCUUGGAACAAUGGAAGAGUGUUCAUAGUGGAUUUGAACAUGAGCUGCCAGCAAGCUGGAUGAAUGGUGUGACUGUCACAUCCAUUGAAUGUUCUGGAGCUUUCCUGACAAGGCUUACCUUAUACCAUGCAGUGGAAUUGCCAUUUUACAGGAGAAGGAACAGAGACAAUCAGUGGGUCUCCCAGAGCUACGCAGAUUAGCUGAGGCAAGGCAAGGAAUUGGAGUCAGGUGUCACAAACCAGAGGUGGUGCUCUAUUACUUUGGCUGGAGGUGUUGGAAGAUGAAAUUCUGCUCAGUUGCUAACCAAGCAAAUCUCUAUUCUGCAACGUGCUGAGGUGCCAGGACACCCCAGUGAUUGCAGAAGGGGGAAAA